rnacentral:rRNA from 1 species
CAAUAGCGUAUAUUUAAGUUGUUGCAGUUAAAAAGCUCGUAGUUGGAUUUCGGGUGGGACGCAGCGGUCUCGCAUUGCGUUUGUACUGCUGCAGCCCUCCUUCUUGCCGGGGGCGGCCUCUCGGACUUCACUGUCUGGGGGUCAGAAUCGGCGAUGUUACUUUGAGUAAAUUAGAGUGUUCAAAGCAAGCUUACGCUCUGAAUAUAAUAGCAUGGGAUAACACGACAGGACUCUGGCCUAUCGUGUUGGUCUAUAGGACCAGAGUAAUGAUUAAGAGGGACAGUCGGGGGCAUUCGUAUUCCGUUGUCAGAGGUGAAAUUCUUGGAUUUACGGAAGACGAACAUCUGCGAAAGCAUUUGCCAAGGAUUUUUUCAUUGA